GAGGUUAGGGGGAUGUUGGCCUCUAAACCAGGAAAGGGAAUAACAAUUGAAAUGUAGAUAAGAAAUACCCAAUUUAGUAAAGAUGGAGGGAAAAAGAAAAUAAAUCUGUUCGAUGGUUCCCAAGGGGGGAAAAAAAAAGAGCACUGACUGCUCUUCCAGAGGUCCUGAGUUCAAUUCCCAGCAACCACAUGGUGGCUCACAACCAUCUGCAAUGAGAUCUGGUGCCCUCUUCUGGUGUGUCUAAAGACAGCUACAGUGUACUGAUAUGUAAUAAAUAAAUAAAUCUUUAAAAAAAAAAAAGAAAGAAAGCAGCAAUCUAGAAUCCUGAAAGAAAUGUGGUCCUGUCACUGGAUGUAAUUCCAGUGGUUCUAUGGUUUGGGAACACAGAAGAGACAUCAGUGAUGUCUUAGAGACUUGAGUACAAUUCCUAUUUCCUAUUGUUCUCUUUGAUCAUGUUACUCAACUGAUUCUAUUGUUCCACAAUUGCUCACCCCUGUUUAUCUUAGAAACUAUGCUAACUGCAAGGGACAUGAUAAAAAGUGGGCCAAAUCUGGCCCUUCCCACUCAAACUGAACAGUCUUGUUCAAGCACAUAAAUCAUACAUACCAAGCCAAACAUUGACCAAUAUGAUGUUUUUAAAACCCAUUUUGAUAGUUGACACUAUUUGCAAUAUAGAUUUUUAAAUCACUUUGAGUUAAAAGGAUAAUAAAACAAAAAGCUCCCCCCUCCCUCCAAAAACAAAAACAAAAAAAAACAAAAACAAAAACAAACAAAAAAAAUAAAAAAACAUGGAGUCAAUUUUGUGUUAUCCAACUAUUCCGGGGCAUGAGGCCUUCUCUGGAGUGUGGUUGAUACAUCCAAUGAUACUCCAUUGUGGAAAACUGAUUUUAUGUUUAUCAGUUCGUAGCAAUUGCAAGUAUAUUGUUAGUUAGGAGUGAGACUCUGUAUCCACUUACCCCUCACAGUGAUAGGACCCCAUCUGGCUAGAACUUGUGCAAGUCUCAUGGGGUCAUCGUAUCUACAAAUUGAUAUGUGCCCUUGCCUUCUGUGUGUGGAAGACAGUUUUCUUGGCGUCAUCUACCACCUCUGUCCCUUCACUCUUUCUGUCUCCUCUUCUGCAUAGAUCCCUGAGGCUUGAAGGGAGGGCUUUGAUGAAGAUAUCCCAUUGAGGACUGAGCAUUCCGAAGAAUCUCACUCUCUACUGUCUCGGUGUUGGUUCUCAACUUCUGUGAGAAGAAGCUUCUCUGAUGAGGAUUGAAGUCUGUGUUUUCAAAGAGAUGGACUUUCAAGAACUGGCUGAACCUCAGAUGCCUGCCCUAGUUCCACAUUAUGUUGUCACCAAUCAAGCCUCAGAGGUUAUACCAAGAUUCUGAAUGGUUUGAGAGGUGCCACCCAAAGUAUAGCCAAGGAAACCGCCACAGGGAGCUUAGUCUGGAUCCGUGGUAGGUGGAAGACCGAGGAUGACACGGAAGCUGUAGAACCAGAGUCUGAAAUAUUAGUUCCACAGAUAGAUAGAUAGAUAGAUAGAUAGAUAGAUAGAUAGAUAGAUAGAUGAUAGAUAGAUAGAUAGAUAGAUAAGAGAUAGAUAGAUAGAUGAUAGAUAGAUGAUAGAUAGAUAGAUAAGAGAUAGAUAGAUGAUAGAUAGAUAGAUGAUAGAUAGAUAGAUGAUAGAUAGAUGAUAGAUAGAUAGAUGAUAGAUAGAUAGAUAGAUGAUAGAUAGAUAGAUGAUAGAUAGAUAGAUAGAUGAUAGAUAGAUAGAUGAUAGAUAGAUAGAUAGAUAGAUAAGAGAUAGAUAGAUAGAUAGAUAGAUGAUAGAUAGAUAUAGAUAGAUAGAUGAUAGAUAGAUUGAUAGAUAGAUGAUAGAUAGAUAGAUGAUAGAUAGAUAAAUAGAUGAUAGAUAGAUAGAUAGAUAAGAGAUAGAUAGAUGAUAGAUAGAUAGAUGAUAGAUAGAUAGAUAGAUGAUAGAUGAUAGAUAGAUAGAUGAUAGAUAGAUAGAUGAUAGAUAGAUAAAUAGAUGAUAGAUAGAUAGAUAAGAGAUAGAUAGAUGAUAGAUAGAUAGAUGAUAGAUAGAUAGAUAGAUAGAUAGAUGAUAGAUGAUAGAUAGAUAGAUGAUAGAUAGAUAGAUGAUAGAUAGAUAGAUAGAUAGAUAGAUAGAUAGAUAGAUAGAUGACAAGAGAGAUUAUAGGUAGGUAGAUUGAUGUAGAGAUGUUAGAAAUAAAGAAUAGAAAUUUUAGAAAUUAUAGAAAUAAAAGAUAAGUAGGUAGGUAGAUAAACAGUCAGUUCAUGAACAUGGAGACUCUAGGCCUAUCACGUCUACACCUCUGUCCUCUGUACCUCCUGCCCAGAUUCAUUUAUCUUCUUAUCUAGCCACUCUAGCAUAACACCAUCAACUCUUACUCACUCAUAGUCUUCAGAUACAAUCUAAAGGACACAGGUAUUAAGGCUAAGCCCCUUGACACCAGGAGAUUAUGUACUGGAAGGCGGCACUAGCCGUGGAAGCACAUGGGAUCCCGAUAUAACCGGCACCCUGGGAAAGGGGAUGCCCGAGCAGAGUAGGCCACAGCUGUCAGGCUAAUUUUGUUUUCUAAAAAUACCAUCUCAGCUGACCAAAGCCAAGCCAGCUAUUCUGUGGAGGAAAUAGCGCCUCAAACAGACUGACUGACUCAUCUUCACAGAACUCUGCUGCACUGUUACACACUUUUCCAGUAUUUUCUUUUCCAUCAUUACCUACAAACAAAAUAAAAACCGCAUAACU